UAGCCUAGUGGUUAAGGCUAUGGAUCGCCAAUCCGGAGACAGCGGGUUCGAUUCCCGC
rnacentral:tRNA from 1 species